GGAGGUGUGCUCUUCCGACCUCGUCCAUUUUGUUGCAUAUGUAGUCAAAGAAUGUUGGGGCUUCCAGUAUUCCUUCCUUUUUCGCAGGGGCAAAAAAA